rnacentral:lncRNA from 1 species
AUUCAAAGUGGCUUUUCAAGAUACAGAGUUGGAAAAGGCUGUGAAGCAGAAGAGUUCAUGCCAAGCAGUAGAAUCAGUUUGAAUAGCUCUAAGUUAAAGGCCAUAAAUGGGGGGACAGUCAGAAAAAGCAGAGCACACUUCUUGGAGCAUGGAAGGGAUCUUAGCAUGGUAAUUAACACACAUAUCAACUGGAAACUUUGAAUAACACAGUGAGAUAACCUUCUCAAAGACUGAUGAAAGAGUUAAAGGCCUUAGGAGGAGGCAUUUUCUAGCGAAUUAAGAUGCUUUAAUCUCCAUAACUACAUUCAGAGGAAACACUUUGGUGAACACUGGAAUUUAAGAUUAAUUCCUUUGUAUGACUUGGGACACAUCCUUGUCCAUGUGAUUUUUAGUUUAUUACAGUGUCAAAAAGCAGCUGUGAGAGGGGCCUGGCAGUUGACAUACAUGGCCCCAAGGGCUGGAGCACUUCUAUGGGAGAAGGAAUAUGCCAAAGGCAUCACUGUGGUCACCAGCUGCUUUAACAGCUGCUAUAAAUCUCAGCCUGCCCCAUGGGCAGAGGAUGUGUACAUUCACUUCACCCUCUUUUCUCAAGCUGUGUUAGGAAUGACAGCUUCAACAAAACCUGCUGUUAAAGACCAGAGUUUUUGCUUUAGAGUUGUUCUCAGUUCUAAACACAGUUCUUUGUCAUUAGGCUGUGUGAGCUGUAGGCUACUGCUUGUAGAAUUCCAGACCAAUUCUCCAGGGAGCAUCACCAAUCUCACAAAAAAGUUGUCUCCCAGAGGAAAUAGUGCUGAGCAGAUGUAUAGCCAGAUUCUCAAGGUAUUUUGCAUGGUGUGCCUGGGAACCUGCCACAAAACAAGCCAGGUUUAUUUUUAGAUACCCUUAACUUUAUUUAUUGAUUUAGGAGGAUAUGAGGAAUGGGCAUAAGCAAAGAGAGUUUUGUGAAAAUGGUAUCUUUUAUUAGAUUAGCUGAUACAGCUUAAAAAAACAAGUAUGCUUUUGGGUACAAGCUGCUUUCUUCAGCAAAAUCUAAUUCAAUACAGGCAAUUUCAGUUUAAUCUUAUUACAUUGAUAACCAUGCUGUUAUAAUAUAAGUGUGGAAAUGAGUAAGAAGAGGGGCAUUUUGAAAUUUUUUUAAUUUAUUUUGAAAUUUUGAACUUCC